GGCAUGGGCAUGGCACCUGGUUUUGGGGGUGGGGCCUGGCACUCCAUCCUUAAAAGGUUCUCCAUCACUGUUCUAGAGCUUUGCUGGCAUAGGUUCUCAGAGGCUAUGCCAGUAAUCCAUGAAAUACCAAAGUAAUCAAAGGAAGACACAAAGAACAUUAGAUAGAUCAUUUUUCAAGGAUUUACUGAAAGAAAUUCACAAGAACAAGAGAGCUUUGAAACAUUUCUCCUAUGUAUUAGGUAACUUGAUUACAGCUCAUGCCUUUGAAGAAGUGAGAAGGCAGGGGAAAGGAAGACUGGAUGUGGUUUAAAAUGCAUAGAGAAGGAAAAAGCAAAAGCAAUAUGCCUUAUGGCCUUUAUCCUUGAGUCUCAAGAGGACUGUUGAGUUCUGAAACAGCUAUUGAGAUAGAUUGUUCAUGUUUUGACAAGCCUGUUCUCCUGAAGAUCCUUAAAAAUGGAAGAGAUGGAAUUUUGUCUAAAAUGGUAGAGAUAAUGACUUCUCUUAUGAAGUCUCGCACUUUUGAUGAGAAAGCACAGUCUUAGUGGGUUUUAGAAACUUUGUUUCCAUCCUUUGUCAGAACUCCAUUAAAGAAUAUUUACAAAA